rnacentral:rRNA from 1 species
UUCCCGGAAACGAAAGUCUUUCGGUUCCUGGGGUAGUAUGGUUGCAAAGCUGAAACUUAAAGAAAUUGACGGAAUGGCACCACCAGGAGUGGAGCCUGCGGCUUAAUUUGACUCAACACGGGAAAACUCACCCGGCCCGGACACCGUAAGGAUUGACAGAUUGAAAGCUCUUUCUCGAUUUGGUGGUUGGUGGUGCAUGGCCGUUCUUAGUUGGUGGAGCGAUUUGUCUGGUUUAUUCCGAUAACGAGCGAGACUCUAGCCUGCUAAAUAGUGACUAGAUUCAUAUUUGUCGUCUAGUCUACUUCUUAGAGGGAUAAGCGGUGUUUAGCCGCACGAGAUUGAGCGAUAACAGGUCUGUGAUGCCCUUAGAUGUUCGGGGCUGCACGCGCGCUACAAUGGAAGAAUCAGCUGGCCUAUCCAUUGCCGAAAGGUAUUGGUAAACCGUUGAAACUCUUCCGUGACCGGGAUAGGGAAUUGUAAUUAUUUCCCUUGAACGAGGAAUUCCUAGUAAGUGUGAGUCAUCAGCUCACGCUGAUUACGUCCCUGCCAUUUGUACACACCGCCCGUCGCUGUCCGGGACUGAGCUGUCUCGAGAGGACUGCGGACUACUGUAUUGAGACCUUCGGGUCGUAAUAUGGCGGGAAACAGUUCAAUCGCAAUGGCU